GACGAACGCUGGCGGCGUGCUUAACACAUGCAAGUCGAACGGUGAAGCUCCAGCUUGCUGGAGUGGAUCAGUGGCGAACGGGUGAGUAACACGUGAGCAACCUGCCCCAGACUCUGGAAUAAGCGCUGGAAACGGCGUCUAAUACUGGAUACGAGAUCAAGCCGCAUGGUUAUGGUCUGGAAAGUUUUUCGGUUUGGGAUGGGCUCGCGGCCCAUCAGCUUGUUGGUGAGGUAAUGGCUCACCAAGGCGACGACGGGUAGCCGGCCUGAGAGGGCGACCGGCCACACUGGGACUGAGACACGGCCCAGACUCCUACGGGAGGCAGCAGUGGGGAAUAUUGCACAAUGGGCGAAAGCCUGAUGCAGCGACGCCGCGUGAGGGAUGACGGCCUUCGGGUUGUAAACCUCUUUCAGCAGGGAAGAAGCGAAAGUGACGGUACCUGCAGAAGAAGCACCGGCUAACUACGUG
rnacentral:rRNA from 1 species